AUGACCGGCGAGCGCCAAAAGGCUACCGGUGGCGGGAGCCCGGGAGGGCGUGGUGCCACUGCUCAUGGACAUGCAGAUUUUCUGGAGAGCGGUCGAUGCUGUGUAUGGAUCAGCCAGGCGGGUUGGAUCAAUGCUAGGGAAAGGGAAUGUGAGUUUAGAGCAACUCCAACGGGCCGACCCAAAUGGACGGUGAUUUUGUCCGGUUUUCGUCUGUUUGGGUCGGCCAGACGGACACGGAUGCCCGCUUCCGUAUUUGGGUCGGCGCAUGCGCCCAACACUGGCCUGAGACCCAUUUUGACGGCGCCAAAAAAAUGA
rnacentral:rRNA from 1 species